CGAAGGACUGCGGACCUUCUGUGGUGGUCCACACCAGUGUGCCCUUUGGCAUCCAGCACCUGGAGGAGGAAAAGAAUGUGGUACAGCCCAUCAUCCUGAAAGAGCUGGAAAAGGUGAUGCCAGAGCUUCCUGAACCUGACAGCAUCAAGUGUCAGAAAUGGAGGUACUCACAGGUGACCAGAUCGGUGGCUGAUUGCCCUGGGCAGAUGACACUGCUCUCCCAGCCUCUGCUGGUGUGUGGUGGGGACAGCUUUACGCACUCCAAUUUCGACGGCUGCAUCGAGUCUGCCCUGAAGGUCUUUGAUGUUCUGAAGUCUUCUCUCUAAAAGGGGGGUGGGAAAGUGCCCCUUUAUUUUUGUUUUUUUGUUAUGGAGGAUGGAACAUUGAUUUAGAUUUAAGCCCCUCCCUGCAGGAAGAUGGAUGUACUGCACAAAGAACAGUAGAUCUGUCUGCCCUGUGUCUGCAGACAUGCAUUUUGUUACAAUAACCAAUUAUACCGUCUAUGCCGGAUGCUGAGGAUUAGAGGACAACAGAGCACUGCACAGGUUCAGGUGUGAUGAAGGCUAGUGCCUCAUACUGGCUUAGACACAGUAUCUUGGACUACGGUUUUCUGAUGUGUAGUAAACAUUAUGUAUGCGUUCAGGUAUUCUCAACCUUCCCCUGUGAUUUAGUUUCAGAUUAAUAAAAUUAUUAAAACAUU